UACGAAGGGGGCUAGCGUUGUUCGGAUUUACUGGGCGUAAAGCGCACGUAGGCGGAUCGUUAAGUCGGGGGUGAAAUCCUGGAGCUCAACUCCAGAACUGCCUUCGAUACUGGCGAUCUUGAGUCCGGAAGAGGUGAGUGGAACUCCUAGUGUAGAGGUGGAAUUCGUAGAUAUUAGGAAGAACACCAGUGGCGAAGGCGGCUCACUGGUCCGGUGCUGACGCUGAGGUGCGAAAGCGUGGGGAGCAAACAGG
rnacentral:rRNA from 1 species